rnacentral:misc_RNA from 1 species
UGAUAGAAUUGCAAAAGAUGCAAGUGUUUCAUUGAAGAAACCUGCUUCCACAAAGGAGUCUAUAAUUGCUUCACCAAGGAAACCUGGGAAAGAAAACUCUUUUGAUCGAAACAAUGAUCUGAGUGAGCAUUCUCAGAGUUUAACACUAGUCUCUAAGAAGUCCAAGAAAAUAAGGAGGGAAGGAUUACUGGAAGUUAAUCAUAGCAUCAGGAAUGAUGAUGAUGAUAAUGCUAAUUCAAAGGAGAGUGGUCAGAAGAAGCCUAGACUUACUAGGGAAGUUUCUAAAAACAAAGUAAAGGUAAAUGAAGAGGAUAAGAGUGUUUUGAUUGGGAAAAGUAAGUCUAAGACACAGUACAAGGCCAUUCCUAAGAAAGAAGUGAAGAGAAAUGGAAAGGAUGAAGGUGUUAUUGUGGAAGAAAAGAAGUCUAAGACACAGUCUCAAGAUGUAUCAAAGAAAGAAAUAACUGUGAAUAAAAAGGCUGUAGGUAACUUUGUUGAGAAAAAGAAGCUUAAGACACAAAUGCCAAAGGAUGUUGCUGUUUGUCGUACUGCAAAGGAAGAGAGGGAUGCUGCAAAUUUUAAAAAUGGAGCAGUUUUGAGUGGUGUUAAAAUUGAUAAUCUUGAAACCAAGAAUAUGACAGCCAUAGAGCUGUGCAAGAUCAACAAGUGUACUGUGGAGCAGCAGAGCAAACAAAUUGAUAACAGCAUUCCAUUGCCUGUGUCCACCUGCUUAACUAAUGUAGCAGGAAUUGAGUUACCCCAUAAAGAUGCUGGGGAUGCAUUGCAAUUCUUCGAGUUUUGUGCUG